GACGAACGCUGGCGGCGUGCCUAAUACAUGCAAGUUGAGCGAUGAAGAUUGGUGCUUGCACCAAUUUGCAGAGCAGCGAACGGGUGAGUAACGCGUGGGGAAUCUGCCUUUGAGCGGGGGACAACAUUUGGAAACGAAUGCUAAUACCGCAUAACAACUUUAAACAUAAGUUUUAAGUUUGAAAGAUGCAAUUGCAUCACUCAAAGAUGAUCCCGCGUUGUAUUAGCUAGUUGGUGAGGUAAAGGCUCACCAAGGCGAUGAUACAUAGCCGACCUGAGAGGGUGAUAGGCCACAUUGGGACUGAGACACGGCCCAAACUCCUACGGGAGGCAGCAGUAGGGAAUCUUCGGCAAUGGACGAAAGUCUGACCGAGCAACGCCGCGUGAGUGAAGAAGGUUUUCGGAUCGUAAAACUCUGUUGGUAGAGAAGAACGUUGGUGAGAGUGGAAAGCUCAUCAAGUGACGGUAACUACCCAGAAAGGGACGGCUAACUACGUG
rnacentral:rRNA from 1 species